rnacentral:rRNA from 1 species
CUUUCCUUGAUGACGACUGGCGCACGGGUGAGUAACGCGUAUCCAACCUUCCCAUAACUACGGGAUAACCCGUUGAAAGACGGCCUAAUACCGUAUGAUAUCGUUUGCUGACAUCAAAUAACGAUUAAAGGUUUAGCGGUUAUGGAUGGGGAUGCGUCUGAUUAGCUUGUUGGCGGGGUAACGGCCCACCAAGGCAACGAUCAGUAGGGGUUCUGAGAGGAAGGUCCCCCACAUUGGAGCUGAGACACGGUCCAAACUCCUACGGGAGGCAGCAGGG